UACGAAGGGGGCUAGCGUUGUUCGGAAUUACUGGGCGUAAAGGGCUCGUAGGCGGCCAACUAAGUCGGACGUGAAAUCCCUCGGCUUAACCGGGGAACUGCGUCCGAUACUGGAUGGCUUGAGUUCGGGAGAGGGAUGCGGAAUUCCAGGUGUAGCGGUGAAAUGCGUAGAUAUCUGGAGGAACACCGGUGGCGAAGGCGGCAUCCUGGACCGACACUGACGCUGAGGAGCGAAAGCCAGGGGAGCAAACGGG
rnacentral:rRNA from 1 species